rnacentral:misc_RNA from 1 species
UUUCCGUAGGUGAACCUGCGGAAGGAUCAUUAUUGUAUAACCGAGGUGCGAGGGCUGUCGCUGAACCGAAAGGUCGUGCACGCCCGAGUGCCCUCACACACAUCCAUCUCACCCCUAUGUGCACCACCGCGUGGGUCCCCCUUUGGCUUGUUCGGAGGGGGGCUUACGUUUUCACACAAACUUUGUAUGCAGUGUAGAAUGUAUUUUUUGUUUUUGCGAUCACGCAAUCAAUACGACUUUCAACAACGGAUCUCUUGGCUCUC